GUCGAACGAACUCUGGUAUUGAUUGGUGCUUGCAUCAUGAUUUACAUUUGAGUGAGUGGCGAACUGGUGAGUAACACGUGGGAAACCUGCCCAGAAGCGGGGGAUAACACCUGGAAACAGAUGCUAAUACCGCAUAACAACUUGGACCGCAUGGUCCGAGUUUGAAAGAUGGCUUCGGCUAUCACUUUUGGAUGGUCCCGCGGCGUAUUAGCUAGAUGGUGGGGUAACGGCUCACCAUGGCAAUGAUACGUAGCCGACCUGAGAGGGUAAUCGGCCACAUUGGGACUGAGACACGGCCCAAACUCCUACGGGAGGCAGCAGUAGGGAAUCUUCCACAAUGGACGAAAGUCUGAUGGAGCAACGCCGCGUGAGUGAAGAAGGGUUUCGGCUCGUAAAACUCUGUUGUUAAAGAAGAACAUAUCUGAGAGUAACUGUUCAGGUAUUGACGGUAUUUAACCAGAAAGCCACGGCUAACUACGUGCCAGCAGCCGCGGUAAUACGUAGGUGGCAAGCGUUGUCCGGAUUUAUUGGGCGUAAAGCGAGCGCAGGCGGUUUUUUAAGUCUGAUGUGAAAGCCUUCGGCUCAACCGAAGAAGUGCAUCGGAAACUGGGAAACUUGAGUGCAGAAGAGGACAGUGGAACUCCAUGUGUAGCGGUGAAAUGCGUAGAUAUAUGGAAGAACACCAGUGGCGAAGGCGGCUGUCUGGUCUGUAACUGACGCUGAGGCUCGAAAGUAUGGGUAGCAAACAGGAUUAGAUACCCUGGUAGUCCAUACCGUAAACGAUGAAUGCUAAGUGUUGGAGGGUUUCCGCCCUUCAGUGCUGCAGCUAACGCAUUAAGCAUUCCGCCUGGGGAGUACGGCCGCAAGGCUGAAACUCAAAGGAAUUGACGGGGGCCCGCACAAGCGGUGGAGCAUGUGGUUUAAUUCGAAGCUACGCGAAGAACCUUACCAGGUCUUGACAUACUAUGCAAAUCUAAGAGAUUAGACGUUUCUCUUUCGGGACAUGGAUACAGUGGUGCAUGGUUGUCGUCAGCUCGUGUCGUGAGAUGUGGUAAGUCCCGCACGAGCGCAACCCUUAUUAUCAGUGCAGCAUUAAGUGGCACCUCUGGUGGGACUGCCGGUGACAAACCGGAGGAAGGUGGGGAUGACGUCAAAUCAUCAUGCCCCUUAUGACCUGGGCUACACACGUGCUACAAUGGAUGGUACAACGAGUUGCGAACUCGCGAGAGUAAGCUAAUCUCUUAAAGCCAUUCUCAGUUCGGAUUGUAGGCUGCAACUCGCCUACAUGAAGUCGGAAUCGCUAGUAAUCGCGGAUCAGCAUGCCGCGGUGAAUACGUUCCCGGGCCUUGUACACACCGCCCGUCACACCAUGAGAGUUUGUAACACCCAAAGUC
rnacentral:rRNA from 1 species